rnacentral:rRNA from 1 species
AACGCGAAGAACCUUACCUACUCUUGACAUCCAUUGAAUCCUGUAGAGAUACGGGAGUGCCGAAAGGAACGAUGAGACAGGUGCUGCAUGGCUGUCGUCAGCUCGUGUUGUGAGAUGUUGGGUUAAGUCCCGUAACGAGCGCAACCCUUAUCCUUAGUUGCCAACAUGUAAUGGUGGGGACUCUAAGGAGACUGCUGGUGAAGAACCGGAGGAAGGCGGGGACGACGUCAAGUCAUCAUGGCCUUUAUGAGUAGGGCUACACACGUGCUACAAUGGGGCGUACAGAGGGUAGCCAACCUGCGAAGGGGAGCCAAUCCCGAAAAGCGCCUCACAGUCCGGAUUGAAGUCUGCAACUCGACUUCAUGAAGUCGGAAUCGCUAGUAAUCGCGAAUCAGAAUGUCGCGGUGAAUACGUUCCCGGGCCUUGUACACACCGCUACAGU